rnacentral:rRNA from 1 species
GAUGAACGCUGGCGGCGUGCCUAAUACAUGCAAGUCGAGCGAACAGACGAGGAGCUUGCUCCUCUGACGUUAGCGGCGGACGGGUGAGUAACACGUGGAUAACCUACCUAUAAGACUGGGAUAACUUCGGGAAACCGGAGCUAAUACCGGAUAAUAUAUUGAACCGCAUGGUUCAAUAGUGAAAGACGGUUUUGCUGUCACUUAUAGAUGGAUCCGCGCCGCAUUAGCUAGUUGGUAAGGUAACGGCUUACCAAGGCGACGAUGCGUAGCCGACCUGAGAGGGUGAUCGGCCACACUGGAACUGAGACACGGUCCAGACUCCUACGGGAGGCAGCAGUAGGGAAUCUUCCGCAAUGGGCGAAAGCUUGACGGAGCAACGCCGCGUGAGUGAUGAAGGUCUUCGGAUCGUAAAACGCUGUUAUUAGGGAAGAACAAAUGUGUAAGUAACUAUGCACGUCUUGACGGUACCUAAUCAGAAAGCCACGGCUAACUACGU